CAGACUUCAGGGGCUGCGUGGCGGUGGUGAAUGACGCCCCCUGCCACCUGCUACCCUUCUCAGCACCCCAAUCCCGCUCGCGCGCGACGUCCGCCUGGGAUUCCGAUACCUGGACGGGCAGUGAGGUUGGGGGUGACCUGCCGAACCCCCUCAGCCCAUCGAGACAGAGGUCCUCGGGGUUGAGGGAGGCUGCCAACGGCAGGCAAGUCCGGGCGGCGCCCCCCCGAGGACCGGGCGCGCUGGGCGAGGCGGCUCCUUCGCACGCUGGGCUGAGCCCGGAGCUCCGCGGCUGGGGACUAGCGACGCCGCCGAGGUCCGCCUUGGGGGGGUUGGGCAGCGUCGUCCCUGCGACCGUGCUCUCGGGACUUGGGAGAGGAAGGAGAAAGGACAAGAGCCCGAGGGAAGGAACCGUCGGUGUUUCAUGUCUGUUCUUUAAAAGAGGCAACCAGUUCUCGGCCAGACUGGGGUUAGCCGAGGCAACCGGUGCAGUGCUGCCUAGAAGCGCACAGGUCAAAGCCACGGCCGAGCCGUGUCGGGGUGCCCUGAGGCACCGCCACUUUCACACCGGGACAUAAAAUAACCACCAGCGUGGGGAGGUAUGCCCACCUUGCUUCUCUGUUGGCCAGAAGCAAAUGCAAAACAUAACGGGACAACGCUUACAACCGCAGCUCUUUCAUUAGACAAAAGCCAAUUUUACCUUCCCGCAACCAUCCGAGCCUUUGGAACUUUUAUUUGCGGCAUUGUGGCGCCCUCUGGCUGUGCUCGGAUUGCUUUCACGUUUGCCCACCUCCCGGUAGAGCGAAGGAUAGAGCUGGGAGUUGUCCUCGAAGGUGGAUCUGCCCUCCUGACCCGUGCCUGGAUUUGGGGGUUGGGUUGUCCUCCAAAAUCGAGGCGACAAAAUGCAACCGUAUCUUCAAAGGGAGGACGCCAAAGGCAAGUGCAUCUGCAUUCGACUGGGGAAAGGCUUCGUUGCUUCUGAUUAGCUUUCACGAUGCACAUCCUUAGUCCUUUUGCGCUCAUGAGCAAGAACCUCUCUGGACGACCAUUGCAUACUGACUUAAGGUCAAACUCCUCAGUCUAACACCCAGGACCUGGGAUGACCUAGGCUCAUUUUUCUCUCUCCCAGUGUAUCUUAACACAUCCAGUUUCCAUUCCCACAUCAUCAUGUCCUAAGGAAGGAAGCUCCAAGGGCUUAGACAAGUGUUUCAACUAAAACAACAAAACCACAUAGCCAUGGGAGAACCACAGUCACGGCCAAGAGAAAGACAAAGCUGGAGGCAGCAAGAAAAUCAAGAAAUCAAAGAGAGGAACAAGAACAAAGCUUCAGAAAUAAAGCAAGAGAAUAUGACA
ensembl:lncRNA